rnacentral:rRNA from 1 species
CCCACUGGGGAGGAGAACCCCGGGAACUGGGACUAAUACCCGAUAGGCGAAGAUUCCUGGAACGGGUCUUCACUCAAAAGGUGUUAGGAUCAUGCUUCUUAACAUCGCCCGAGGACGGGGCCGCGACCGAUCAGGUAGUUGGCGAGGCAACGGCUCACCAAGCCUAUAACCGGUACGGGCCGUGGGAGCGGGAGCCCGGAGAUGGGCACUGAGACAAGGGCCCAGGCCCUACGGGGCGCAGCAGUUGCGAAAACUUGUCAAUGCACGAAAGUGUGAACGGGCUACCCCGAGUGCCGUCCGCUGAGGAUGGCUUUUCUCUGCUGUAAGAAGGCGGAGGAAUAAGGAGAGGGCAAGUCUGGUGUCAGCCGCCGCGGUAAUACCAGCUCUCCGAGUGGUAGGGAUGAUUAUUGGGCUUAAAGCGUCCGUAGCCGGCCUCUCAAGUCUUUCGUUAAAUCCAGCGACUAAUCGUUGGACUGCGGGAGAUACUGUUAGGCUAGGGGGCGGGAGAAGCCGACGGUAUUCUUGGGGUAGGGGUAAAAUCCUAUAAUCCCAGGAAGACCACCAGUGGCGUAGGCGGUCGGCUAGCACGCGCUCGACGGUGAGGGACGAAAGCUGGGGGAGCGAACCGGAUUAGAUACCCGGGUAGUCCCAGCUGUAAACGAUGCGGGCUAGGUGUUGGAGCGGCUACGAGCCGCUUCAGUGCCGCAGGGAAGCCAUUAAGCCCGCCGCCUGGGGAGUACGGCCGCAAGGCUGAAACUUAAAGGAAUUGGCGGGGGAGCAC